CCCAAGAAAGAAGCCUAAAGCAGAUCAAAGUGAUGUUGCCACUGUAGCGGGAUAUAUCAGUAAAGUGAGUGCAGCUAAGAUAUCCAAAAAUGGAACGCAUUACUUUAAUGCAGUAAUUCAGAUUUCAAGUGGAAGAUUUCACAACGUUGUUUCCUACAAGAUGCAGCUCCAUGUGCAUUUUUUGAAGUUUACAGAAACAAGACAAGCCAUCAAACUCUUCAACAUAAGAAAAGCAUGCAGUUACCGACAAUACUCAGAGUAUGAUGUGAUCUGCAAAUUCAACACCACAAUGGAACCUACCCAUGUCAAACUGCUACCCUCUCAUCAUAAGAUUGACUCAAUCAGAUGCAAGAUCACAUCAGUUGCUACCCAGAAAUACACCGUCUCUGUCCAUGGCAGUAAUCAGGAGGUCACUACAGUGGUGGGGAAUGACGGAACAGCUGCUAUGAAAAUCCAGGUGUGGAAUGAACAGGCAUGUGCAUACAGGCACAGAAGUCAUACAUUAUUACAAACUUGUCAACAAGGCAUUUUGCUGGACAAUGUCUACUUACAACAACUCCACACUCAACUUUUACAGAGUGCAAAGAUAUUACACUGCCUAUCAACCAUGAAGACAUUGAUGUGGAUCAAAACAUUAAAACACUUCUGGGGCAAGCUGUUACUGUGGACAUUAAAUCUAAAUUACAUUGCAUCAUUUGUAAAAAGCACCAGACAGGGAAUUCCAAUCCCAUGGACAAAUAUCACAGAUGUGAUCACUGUGAAAGAAAACAAAAGAUGUCUACAUAUGAGAAAACCUUAAGGGGCACUGUGACAUUAAAAGAAACUGUGGGUGUAAUAAGAGACUACAGAAUCAACAAUGCCACCAUAACCCAAGUACUGCAACAACAAAACAAAACUGAAUUGACUCACAAUCCUGAUGAAAUAGAAGAAAUGCUCCUAGAAAUGCCGACUGUGACAUGUUUAGUGGAUAAUGAUGACAAUAGAAUCAUAAAGAUUGACCCUUGCACAUCAGUUACAGAGCCUUCUUUUAGAAAUCAAAAGCAGCAGGGCAGUGAAGAUAUGUCACUGGAGCUGCUGUUCCAAGAGCCUCCAGUGUAGAUGGUCCAAUCCUAAAAGUGGAAACAAUAUUAUUUUUCUUUUUACUUUUUAUGUUCAUCUUAAAAGUGUUAAAGAACAGUUUUAAAAAACUGGAAUGUGUAGUUUUUCAACUUAAUUUACUAAUUUCAUUUGUAAAGAUGAACACAGAAUUUAAGUUGUUAAACUAUGUAAGGAUUGUAUUUUUUUUUACUUUCAAUGGGAAGUAACAAAGUACAUUUGAGUACUGUACUUAACUGUGUUUAAGUAUUUUUUUAAAAAAAUCAGCCUCAAGGUCAUAGACAACCUUGAGGGCUCUUUUCUUUUCCACAUCCAUGUUAAUGAAAAAAAAAUUCACGCAUGUAAUGGUUACUUUGUUCACCCCAGCCUUUGUUUUCUGUUUUAAUUUUUUUUUUUUUUUUUUUUUAAAUAAUUCCUGAUGUUCUGCAGUCUGGUGUUGUGUCACUAGAGGGCAGAGUUGCUAAUACUUCUCAUUUGUUGUAUCUGAGAAAUAAAAAAGUCAAAUCUGUCUGUACAUUGGGUGUAUUGUGUACUGCCAUUACGUGCGGAAAUGCACUGAUCGUUAUUACGUUGUGAUAAGUUAAAAUGUUGUAUAGCCUACUUUAGCUGGGAGGGGUGGAGGUGUUCUAAGCUGUGUGGUGCAAUAUCUGUAUUUCUACCAGUGCUAACUAAAUGCUCUGUGUGUAACUUGGCUUCUCUCCAACCAAGGAUGGAGUAUCUUGCGCAAGGUUAUGUAAACCCAACCAAUUAAAUAUUAAAAUCAA